CAGUAGCCACGGGAAUACGUAGGCAGCAAGCGUUGUUCGGAGUUACUGGGCGUAAAGGGUGCGUAGGCGGUCCUAUAAGUAUGGUGUGAAAUCUCCCGGCUUAACUGGGAGGGUGCGCUAUAGACUGUGGGACUAGAGUGUGGGAGAGGAAAGUGGAAUUCCUGGUGUAGCGGUGAAAUGCGUAGAUAUCAGGAGGAACACCGGUGGUGUAAACGGCUUUCUGGACCAUAACUGACGCUGAGGCACGAAAGCGUGGGUAGCAAACAGGAUUAGAUACCCGUGUAGUCCCUGUCUCUUAUAU
rnacentral:rRNA from 1 species